GAGGUUGUGGCUCAGUGGCAGAGCGCCUGCCUUGUGUGUGCAAGGCCCUGAGUUCGAUCCUCAGCACCACA
rnacentral:tRNA from 1 species